rnacentral:rRNA from 1 species
AGUGAACGCUGGCGGCAUGCCUAACACAUGCAAGUCGAACGGCAGCACAGUAAGAGCUUGCUCCUACGGGCGGCGAGGGGCGGACGGGUGAGGAAUACAUCGGAAUCUACUUUUUCGUGGGGGAUAACGUAGGGAAACUUACGCUAAUACCGCAUACGACCUACGGGUGAAAGCAGGGGAUCUUCGGACUUUGCGCGAUUGAAUGAGCCGAUGUCGGAUUAGCUAGUUGGCGGGGUAAAGGCCCACCAAGGCGACGAUCCGUAGCUGGUCUGAGAGGAUGAUCAGCCACACUGGAACUGAGACACGGUCCAGACUCCUACGGGAGGCAGCAGUGGGGAAUAUUGGACAAUGGGCGCAAGCCUGAUCCAGCCAUACCGCGUGGAUGAAGAAGGCCUUCGGGUUGUAAAGCCCUUUUGUUGGGAAAGAAAAGCAGCAGGUUAAUACCCCGCUGUUCUGACGGUACCGAAAGAAUAAGCACCGGCUAACUUCGUG